rnacentral:rRNA from 1 species
GAUGAACGCUGGCGGCGUGCCUAAUACAUGCAAGUCGAGCGAACAGACGAGGAGCUUGCUCCUCUGACGUUAGCGGCGGACGGGUGAGUAACACGUGGAUAACCUACCUAUAAGACUGGGAUAACUUCGGGAAACCGGAGCUAAUACCGGAUAAUAUAUUGAACCGCAUGGUUCAAUAGUGAAAGACGGUUUUGCUGUCACUUAUAGAUGGAUCCGCGCCGCAUUAGCUAGUUGGUAAGGUAACGGCUUACCAAGGCAACGAUGCGUAGCCGACCUGAGAGGGUGAUCGGCCACACUGGAACUGAGACACGGUCCAGACUCCUACGGGAGGCAGCAGUAGGGAAUCUUCCGCAAUGGGCGAAAGCCUGACGGAGCAACGCCGCGUGAGUGAUGAAGGUCUUCGGAUCGUAAAACUCUGUUAUUAGGGAAGAACAAAUGUGUAAGUAACUAUGCACGUCUUGACGGUACCUAAUCAGAAAGCCACGGCUAACUUCGUG